UACGGGGGGGGCAAGCGUUGUUCGGAAUUACUGGGCGUAAAGGGCGCGUAGGCGGUUCGCUAAGUUGGAUGUGAAAACUCUGGGCUCAACCCAGAGCCUGCAUCCAAAACUGGCGGGCUAGAGUUCUGGAGGGGAUAGCGGAAUUCCUGGUGUAGCGGUGAAAUGCGUAGAUAUCCGGAGGAACACCAGUGGCGCAGGCGGCUCUCUGGGUCGGCCCUGACGCUGAGGCGCGAAAGCGUGGGGAGCGAACGGG
rnacentral:rRNA from 1 species